AGGAUGAACGCUAGCGGGAGGCCUAACACAUGCAAGCCGAGCGGUAGAGAUCCUUCGGGAUCUUGAGAGCGGCGUACGGGUGCGGAACACGUGUGCAACCUGCCUUUAUCUGGGGGAUAGCCUUUCGAAAGGAAGAUUAAUACCCCAUAAUAUAUCGAGUGGCAUCAUUUGAUAUUGAAAACUCCGGUGGAUAGAGAUGGGCACGCGCAAGAUUAGAUAGUUGGUGAGGUAACGGCUCACCAAGUCUGCGAUCUUUAGGGGGCCUGAGAGGGUGAUCCCCCACACUGGUACUGAGACACGGACCAGACUCCUACGGGAGGCAGCAGUGAGGAAUAUUGGACAAUGGGUGAGAGCCUGAUCCAGCCAUCCCGCGUGAAGGACGACGGCCCUAUGGGUUGUAAACUUCUUUUGUAUAGGGAUAAACCUACUCUCGUGAGAGUAGCUG
rnacentral:rRNA from 1 species